UGGUUUCCUGCUGUUUUUAGAAUCAAGAUCCAUAUCUCUGGCACAGCUUUAAGUCCUUCUAAGCCAGCAUCAGUUCCCACCAUUAUUCUCACACAUCCUUUCUGUAGGCUAAUUAGCCACAGUGGCCUUCUAUUCUGUUCUUUAAACAAGCUUUCCUCCAGGACUCCUCUCUGCCCCACCUCAACCUCCAGCCUGAUUAAAUCCAUCCAUCCAUCAAUCCAAGUUCUAGCCUCAACUCCUCAGAGAAGCCCACCUUCUGACCAGUGUAGGUCAGGACACUUUACUGUGUCUUCUCAAAUGCUCUUCUUUUUGGAACAUAGAUUUGCUGCUGAAACAGAGACCAUGGUGAAUUUAAUAAGACAGAAGUCUCUAUCUUUUGCUGACAAUAUAAUGUUGGCCUUAGCAACCCAGGAUUUCUCUAGAGUCUCUCUGAUGUUGGGAGCCCAGAAUUUUUCUACCUUGUUGUGUGGACAUCUCUAAGUUACCCUCACCAGCAUGCUUUAAGACAAUUCACCACGGUAUUUCCAUUUCAGUCAGUGGAAGGGAGAAAGAGGAAAGGGAGGGCAUAAUCACUCCUUGUAAGGGCAUGACUAAGGAAUUGUGCUUAUUACUUUUACUCACCUCUCACUGAUCAGAACUUGGUCACAUGGCCACAUCUUGCUGCAAGGGAGGCUGGGAAAAGUAGUCUUUAUUUUGGCUGCCAUAUGCCCAGCUUUAAACCUGGAGAUCUGUUACUGUAGAUGGAGUGAAUGGAUAUGGGGACACCUAGUGGUGUCUGUGGCAGUACAGGCAACCGAGAUUGCAAUGAUACACUAAUUAGUGUGAUUAUUUGAUUGAUAUUUAUCUAUCCCCCUAGGACUGUAAUCUUUACAAGAGCAGGUAUCAUAUUUGUUUCACUCACCAUUAUGUCCUCAUCAUCUAUCCCAGUGUGCGGUACAUAGUAUUGAUGUGGAAACAUUGGGAUUUGGAGCUGAUGGCCAAGGAAGAAUGCUUGAGAUGUGUUCAAUGCAAAAACGUGGUUUUAUUAAAGUACAGGGAGAGGACUCAUGGGCAGAAAGAGUUGAGCUGGGGUUGUGAUAGGUGACUGAUUAUGUACUUUCAAGUUGGGAGUGUGUUAGGGAUGGCAUAAGUCUCUAAGGAAUUUUGGAAGCAAGGUUUCCAGGACCUUGAGGGGGCUAGCUAUUGUUAGGAAAAGGUCAUUUAUUACUGUCUAAUAAACCUUUAGUUAUGAGACCAUGAGUUGUAUAUCAACGGGCUAUAUGCUUGGAGGAUGAUUGCUAACACUUAUCUUGGGGGGUAGAGAUAAAGGAAGUUUCCAUAGGAAUUUUUGUAUCUUAAAGGAGGCUUACAGGAUCCCAUUGGGGUCAGGAUAAUGUUAAGCUUUUGCCUUUUGCCUUUGGCUAAGUAUUAAUAUUAACACCAAGGCAGUUGCGUUCCUAGAGGAAGGUCACUCUGCCUGUCUCAAGGACUUGUCAGUGGGCUAUACACUGUAAAGAAAUUUAAUUUUUUCUUUUACCUUUGCUUCCCACGUCAGUAUGACCUUAAAAGAUAUUUGUUGAAUGCAGGAAUGAAUAUAUUGGAUCUCUGACUAUGUCCUGUGUUCCUGUCUCAUGCUUGAUGCUCCACCUAGAUCAAAACACUUGUGGUUAUCUAGUAAUGUACUCAUUAUCCAUUAAAAAACACUUUGCUAAUCUGAUGAGCAAAAAUAGUCAUCUCACUGUUUAAAUUUCUUUGAUGACUUUUGAGAUAACACAAACUUUCAUAUAUUUCCAUUUAUACUUCUUGUUAUAAGAUUUGAUAUGACUAAUUCUGUCAAUGUCUCUUGAGGUACACUAAGAGUUUAACACAGUAGAUUUCAGUCAAAUAAAGUCCAAGUUCGGUAGCAACUUCAGGGACUUGCUUGAUCGAGGAGUAGAAUAUAAAGUAAUGCUUGAAUUAGGGCAUUCAUGCAAUUCUACAUGGAUGUUAUUUCUCAAGUUUGAGCUUUCCACAAGGGUCGGGAAGCAAAGAGUUAAAGGUUACAUGCCCUCCUUAGAAUAUCACCUCAGGGUGAUACUGUGAUUUAUAAUAAGGAAUAUAUAUUUAGUCUUUGUCCCUAUUUCUGGUGCAGAACUCCUAAAAUCCUUGAAAUUUCCUAAGUGAUAAAGUUUCAUGAUAUUCCUAACAAGCACCUUUCAACCACACCUGAGAUUACGUUAAUAAGAUGACUAUUGGAAAGCACCUAAGGAUGGGGCUGGUUUCCAGGGGAACCAACCUUGUGACUAGUUUAGUCCCACCCCCUGACCUCUGAAGAGGGAGAGGGUCUCCAGAUGAAAUCAAUUGCCAAUGGCUAAUAAUUUAACCAAUCACACCUGUGUAGUGAAGCUUCUAUUAAAAACCCAAAGGACAGAGUUCAGAGCGCUUCCGGGUUGGUAAACCGCAACACAUCUACGUGGCGGGUCCCAAACUUCACCUGGACAGAAGUUCCUGUGUUCGGGACCUCUUGCUGUUCAUUUGUAUCCUUUGUCACAAACCGGUAAUCUGGUACAUUGCAUGAGCAUCGAUGCCAGGCCAGUAGGCACCCACAGGACAACUAUCUCAUGGCUAGCUGGGACAUUCACACCACAAAAGCAAAGGGACUAAUGCUGCCUGAGCAGGGGAAGAGAAAAUAUCUGUGAUGAGUUGUUCUUGAUGAUUCCAAGACACAGAAAUAAUUGUGGAGCAGAGGAACUUUUCAGGGAACUGGAGUUUCCAAAAUGGAGAGUGCGGUUAAGUGGGUUACAUGUACAGAGAGAGAGACAGAGCAUGAACGUGGAAGGGGCAGAGAGAGAGGGA